rnacentral:rRNA from 1 species
UACGGAGGGUGCAAGCGUUGUCCGGAAUCACUGGGCGUAAAGGGCGCGUAGGCGGCCUCUGCAAGUCGACUGUGAAAUCUCCGGGCUUAACCCGGAAAGGUCAGCCGAUACUGCAGGGCUAGAGUGCAGAAGGGGCAACUGGAAUUCUCGGUGUAGCGGUGAAAUGCGUAGAUAUCGAGAGGAACACCUGCGGCGAAGGCGGGUUGCUGGGCUGACACUGACGCUGAAGUGCGAAAGCUAGGGGAGCGAACGGG